UCCAUGUCUGCGGCCACGAAGCUCGGGUGUUUCUGUCACAGCUACUAUAUCCAACAACAGCAACACAAUGUCCUGCGUGGAGAGGAGAUAUUAAUGGAGACAAAUGCUGCUCUCUCCUUCCUUUGAUCUGUUGAUGGUUACUGUGGCAACCAUUGAAG